rnacentral:tRNA from 1 species
GCCUGGGUGGCUCAGUCGGUUGAGCGUCCGACUUCGGCUCAGGUCAUGAUCUCACAGUUUGUGGGUUCGAGCCCCCCGUCGGGCU